rnacentral:rRNA from 1 species
AACGAACGCUGGCGGCAUGCCUAACACAUGCCAGUCGAACGAGACCUUCGGGUCUAGUGGCGCACGGGUGCGUAACGCGUGGGAACCUGCCCUUAGGUUCGGAAUAACUCCCCGAAAGGGGUGCUAAUACCGGAUAAUGUCUUCGGACCAAAGAUUUAUCGCCUUUGGAUGGGCCCGCGUUGGAUUAGCUAGUUGGUAGGGUAAAAGCCUACCAAGGCGACGAUCCAUAGCUGGUCUGAGAGGAUGAUCAGCCACACUGGGACUGAGGCACGGCCCAGACUCCUACGGGAGGCAGCAGUAGGGAAUAUUGGACAAGGGGCGAAAGCCUGAUCCAGCAAUGCCGCGUGAGUGAGGAAGGCCUUAGGGUUGUAAAGCUCUUUUACCCGGGAUGAUAAUGACAGUACCGGGAGAAUAAGCUCCGGCUAACUCCGUG